CUAAAACCAGAUUUGUGAUUAAGAUGGAACGUUGUAAUUUGUAAACACAAUAGAAAUAUGAAUUGCAAUAAACCGUCAAAUCAAAACAAGAAAAGUACCAGAUAACAGUACAGAUUUCAAGUCUACCUGUUGAUACUCCACACCCCAGAAGGCCUGCAGCCUUAGAUAGAGGUAUUCCAGAAUCAAUCUUUGUGACAUGGGCUAUGUCUAUCACUGUAUACUCACUAAAACUAGACACACAUAGGAAAUGGUAUAGAGUCUCGCCGUUGAGGUCAGUGAAUCUGCUUGUCCCAUAUCUUGGCAUAAAAGGUGAGACCUUGAAGGGCAGUUCUGAAGAUGAACACAGGUUGCUCUUUGUUGAUUUGCAAUCUCUACAUUCUCCACACUCUGCCAUGAAUGUUGGGAUGACCGUAUCUCCUUCACUUACCUCAUUGACAUCCUCCCCAACACUCUCCACAACCCUACAAGGCAUAAACAUUGAUCGAAAAGCAUUUCAACUCCAUGACCAAAACAUGUAGGUUUACGCAACCUGACCAGAUACAUCUGAUACUGACUCAGUAUACUUUCAGUGCAUUAAGCCAUUGAGCAAAAGACGAAUGUUUCUCUAAUUUCAGUGAUCAAACUAACAAUGUGUGCUAAUUAAUGUACGCCAAUGAUUAAACUAACAAAGUGGUCUAAUUUGGUUUUGAAAGAUGAAUUAGAGUGACAGUGUUGGAGCUCACCCGAUAGCUUCGUGACCGAGAAUUAUAGGGAAAAUUCCAGGGAAGUCCUGCAACAACAAAACCAAACAAGAUAUGUUAAAACUCAAUCGCUUGUUAAUUGGUCCAAACAAAGUGUCACGUUGUGCUAAAGAGAUAACCUUCAUUUUCCAGAAGACGAUAUCACUGUGGCAGAGGGAAGUAUAUAUAAUUCGAAUGCGCACUUCAUGAGGCAUCGGCGGUGCCACUACGAUCUCUUCGAUCACUAGCGGCUCACCUGGCUUCCGACACACCGCAGCUACAGCCACGUAACAUAAUCAGAUCCACCAUUCAUCAAAAGUCAACGAAUCCAAAACUAACAGAAACAAUUUCAAAGUGAGUAAUAAGAACCCACCUCUGCAUCGAAUAGGCUUCCCUCUACUUCCACUUGACACCUUCUCAGCCAUGGCUUUCAAGAAGACACAGUCCUUGAUUCUUUCAGAGCGUGAAUGGCUAAUAAUAUGAUUAUUCACUGUCUAGUUUGUACGAUAAUAAAGGCAAACAGAAAGAUGUAAAUGUGAGUAGCUGAGACUUCGCUGGCUGGGAUUACUUGAUGACUAAGGGAUGGAGAAUAUAACCUGCCACAGUUUUAUACGAUUGGCAGAAACGGUAGGUGGGUUUGGACUUUGAAAGUGACAGUCUUCAUUUGGGGUUGGCCGUUAGCGGCAUUGCUUAGCUUUGUGCUUGUCUGCUACUUAAUUUGGCUUUCGGCUCCGCGGAGGUUCUUCCGUCCACCAGUUGAGUUUCACCAAGUUCACGUGUCAGCAUCAUAACUUUUCGUUUCAGUCAAGUCCAAAAGUUAACUAACAAUAGUUUUGAAAGAAGAGGUUAUGAUGCUGCCACAUCACCUUGGUGAAAACUCACCUGGUGGACAUGAAGAAUUUCCGUCGUCCGGGACCGUACAUGCUGAUUUGUUGAUAACCACCCGCAGAAUGAUGCACAUGCUUUUGUCUAUUUCUUUCUAAGUGGGUAAUAUGGGCCCUCUUUAGUGAGGACCGGGCCGAAACGCAAGAUCUGUGUAGCCCAAGCCCAACCUAUUUUAAUAUUCCUACAAGUUUUAAUUUUUCAACUGUUAUCUGAACGAUUUUCCGACUCGUCAAACAACUAGCUUCGUUUCCGUCAUAUUUGGUGGGAAAACAAAUUUGGGUUAAACUCUUCAAAAUGGUCUGAACUAUUAGGGGACUGAUAGAAUGAUACUCAAACUUAUAAAUGUAUAAUGUGAUACCUAAACUUAUAUUUUGGUAUCAACAACGGGUGUGCAUCCAAGAUUAUAGAAUAUUCCGUUUGUGUCUUGCAUUUUAGUUUUCUUUUAUCAUUUUAAAAAUUGACGGAGCAUGGUGGGCCUAGAACAAUAAAUUUGUUUAUUUAACAUACUACAAAUAUAUAAAUCUAUCCUCUUUACUCAAAUAUAUAAAUCUAUCAUCUUUACUCAAAGGUAAACAGUUAAUUUUUCAUCAUUGGAGAAUCUAUUGAUACAAGAUUAGAUUAUUUAUCAGAAGUUAGACAGUCUUAUAAAAAGUUACAGAAAAAAGAGAAAAAUUAAGAAAACUAAAAGAAUUUUGAUCUAAGCUUCAUAGAAGUACUAAUUUUUAUUGGGAUAUUAUCUAUCGGAUCUAGAAAAGGAUCUAUCAAGUAGAAGAGGAAGUCAAAAUUCUCAAAGAGACUUUCGUAGAAGAUCAAAAACCCGUUGAUUAUUUGAGCAUCAGUUAGAUCCGCCCUAACUGGUAUCAGAGUCUGCUUUGCUCAAAGGCAGGUAAGAAAAAGGUUUAUGCCACAAAGUUGGCUUCUCUUGACAAACAAAAGAGAAUCAAAACUUAAAAAUUAUCAGUUUUAUUGUACUGCAAAAUGAACUGAUAAGUGGGAAGUGUGUUUUCAUAUAAGGCAUAUUCAAGAAAAUCAAUACUCCAUUGAAUACGUUUGUAGAGUAUUAAAUACUCUCUACGACGAACAUAUUCAUCUCCAUAGAGAAAUCGGAGUAGAAAAGCUUAAUCUAGCAAGUUCAAGCUUACUCGAGUUCCUAGAUCAUUUAUCUAGGUAUAAAAACCUCUGAAAAUGUAACAGAACAACUCGAGAGAUUUAAUCUUAUGAUUAAUCAACUUGAGAAAAUAAAUUCAAAAAUUGCUAGGCUUGAAAUGAUUAUCUCAAAGAAAAGCAAUAUCUGAUAGAUAUUGAAAGGAAACUAGUUCGCACUGAGAAUCUUGCAAACAAUAUUCAUCAGCAAGCAACGGAACUAAUAAAUACUCAAGAAAACUUGAAAAAGCUUUUAUAAACUCUUAUCUCCAAGAUAGGAUGAAGCAAAGAAUAGAUCUAAAAGUAAAAUAGGAAGAUGUUAAAGCUAUUAGUUUUCAUCGUCCUACAAAAAAAGUUGCUGAGAAUGUGGAAACAAAUUAUUCAUCAACAAAAUUAUAAUAUCACUUAUCUCCAAGAGAUAGGUACUGACUUGAAAUUCAAUUUCGAGAGUUACAAAGCAAGAUUUCAAAUCUACAAAAGAUUGUAGAAAAGAUGAAAUAAUGAGAAAGUUAUGAGAAUAUCAAUGAAGAAUCGCUCGUUCAAAAUGUAGCUAGUAAAAUCAUCAUAUAUUCUCCACCCCCACCAAUGAGAGAAAGUAGACUAAGGUUUAGUGAACCAAAACUACUUGAAUGGAAAACAUCUAAAACAUCAAAAUCCAUAACAAAGAGAGAUGUGAAGAUGCUGAGCAGAAUCCAAUUAUACAAAAAGACUAACAAAAAGACUUGAUCCCCACCAUAACCAUAUACUGCAACAGUUGGAGUGUGGAACCAACCAUGCUUCUUUGCCAUUCUUAGAUGAAUCAGAAUACUUUACAGUAACGAAAUCCCCGAGGCUAUUAACUGAGCUUAGCAUCUCAUUUCUAGACAGGGAGGAUCAUUCCAAUUAUACAAGAUUAAUCAGAAACCUAAAACCCAAUAAGCUCACCGUCACAGGCUUCACGUUUGUAGUGCCUGUUGACAACAGUACUGUAAUGGCUUUAACAAGCUCCAAGCUACUCUUUUACCCAAGAAGAAAGGAGCUCCAAGCUACUUGGCUUGCAGAAAUACCACAAUGCCGUGGCCGCGGCUAAGUUAAGCAAUAAAUUGAUAAGUAACAACCGGAAAUAUGAUGAGACGAGCCACAUUGUAACAUGUUACAAACACUAAUUCACAAUACAACGCAACUUUCAAGCAGUACAUGCAGCAGAUAUUUGAGGUACACACAUACUCAACAUAUCAAAGUGAGUUUAGCAUGAGAUUUACAAAAAUGGCACUCGUGGAUACAAUGACAGUAUACUGUAGUUCUAUUGGUUUUAUCAAUAUAUUACGCAAACAGCUUGCUGCUUCCACUAUCUAGAUGAUAGUUCCUUGUUAAACACUGAAAUCUAGCAUGUGAUAGGAGAGGCUGUUACUAAUGGAAGUAAAUCACUGAUCAUUCAUACAGAUUACACAUCGCAGAGAUUUCCCUUCAAUGAGUAAAUCAAAAGCUUUGUUGAGAAGAACCAUACUGUCAAUAAUAGCCGUCCUUACAAACACUAAAUCACAAUAUAUUGCAACUAACCAGGAGUACAUGUAACAGAGAUACGAGGUACACACAUAAGUGGAACUGGGGAAACAAGGACUUUUGAAUGCUGUAAUUCUAUUUGUUUUACAAACAUAUAUUACGAAAACUGCAUGCUGCUUACACUCUGUAGAUGGCAGUUCCUUAUUAAACACUGAAAUCUUACAUGUGAAGGAGAGGAUGUAACUAAUGAAAGUAACUCACAGAUAAUUUAUACAGAUUACACAUCGCAGACAUUUCCCUUCAAUGAGUAGAUCAAAAGCUUUGUUAAUGUCCUCAAAUGUUACUUCAUGUGUAACAAACUCAUCCAGUUGUAGUUCCUGAUACGAUGAAAAGCUAAAAUGUUAAAAGGGCGUCCAGGUGUAAGUCAAGCGAAAAGCAUUUAGAGCAUAACGUUACUGUUAAAUACCUUGUUGAUGUAGCGAUUUAGGAGAAUAGGAAUAUCUGAUUUGGGUUUCAGUCCUCCAAAUAAGACUCCCAUGAGGGAUUUGCCAGUACUAAGGAUACUCGCUGAAGGAAUGCUCACAUGUGAUCCUGGCUUGUCCACUCCCAACACGAUUGUUUUUCCCCAACCCUGAAUAGAUUACAUCAAGUAUAACUAUGAUUAUAUGAGAAAAUCUACAGCUCUGUGAGCCAACUAGAGCUGUAAGAUAAUACGAUACACACACGCACAUAAUAUAUAGAGCAAGCAAGAGAUAGAGACCUUGCGGCAACAUGCAUAAGCUUCUUGCACCACUGAUGCCAUCCCUACACAUUCAAAGCAAUAAUCUGCACCCCCGUCGGUCAUCUCAAUUAUCACCUGCCACGAAUAGCAUAUACAUUCCCAGAAAUUAACUAUUAAUCUCUAAAACAACUGUGCAUACACUAGCAAAUAAUGAAUUAUCCAUGAACUAGGUGCAUAGUUCUAGAGAAAAACCUCGCUCGCAGAUUUAUUCUCAGAAUUCGCAGCCUUAACAAAGUCGGUGAGUCCAAACUUUUUCCCUGUGUUAAUAGGAAAACAAUUUUAUCAUCAUCCUUGUGAAAUGAAACAAACAUACAGCAUUCAGAUGCUUACUCCUCCUAUGACGAAGGGCACCUCUACCAUACAUUGGCUUGAGUAUAAAGCUUUUCAUGGUCUAAAGUGACUAAAAUCAGAUACUUCUGACAAGAUCCACAUACCAACUUCAAAUUUGUCUUGGUUCACAUCCACACCAAUAAUUCUUGUAGCUCCACAAAGUCUUGCUCCCUCUGCAACCUGGAAAAAUUAGCAUGGCUGUGAGCCUUCUCAUAAUUAAAAAUCUGCAGGAGGAAAAGAAGUAUGAAACAUCUAGACUAAGGUCGAAUGCAUACAGCUAAUCCAAUUGAACCAAGCCCGAAUAUAGCCACAGUUGAUCCUGGUUCUACUUUUGCAGUUCUCCAUGCAGCACCAACCCCUAAAACCAGAUUUGUGAUUAAGAUGGAACGUUGUAAUUUGUAAACACAAUAGAAAUAUGAAUUGCAAUAAACCGUCAAAUCAAAACAAGAAAAGUACCAGAUAACAGUACAGAUUUCAAGUCUACCUGUUGAUACUCCACACCCCAGAAGGCCUGCAGCCUUAGAUAGAGGUAUUCCGGAAUCAAUCUUUGUGACAUGGGCUAUGUCUAUCACUGUAUACUCACUAAAACUAGACACAGAUAGGAAAUGGUAUAGAGUCUCGCCGUUGAGGUCUGUGAAUCUGCUUGUCCCAUAUCUUGGCAUAAAAGGUGAGACCUUGAAGGGCAGUUUUGAACACAGGUUGCUCUUUGUUGAUUUGCAAUCUCUACAUUCUCCACACUCUGCCAUGAAUGUUGGGAUGACCGUAUCUCCUUCACUUACCUCAUUGACAUCCUCCCCAACACUCUCCACAACCCUACAAGGCAUAAACAUUGAUCGAAAAGCAUUUCAACUCCAUGACCAAAACAUGUAGUUUUUCGCAACCUCACCAAAUACAUCUGAUACUGACUCAGUAUACUUCAGUGCGUUAAGCCAUUGAGCAAAAGAUGAAUGUUUCUCUAAUUUCAGUGAUCAAACUAACAAUGUGUGCUAAUGUACGCUAGUGAUUAAACUAAC
rnacentral:lncRNA from 1 species